CGUUGCACUAUCGUUAACUGAAUACAUAGGUUAACGAGGCGAACCGGGGGAACUGAAACAUCUAAGUACCCCGAGGAAAAGAAAUCAACCGAGAUUCCCCCAGUAGCGGCGAGCGAACGGGGAGCAGCCCGGAGUCUGAAUCAGCUUGUGUGUUAGUGGAACGGUCUGGAAAGUCCGACGGUACAGGGUGAUAGUCCCGUACACGAAAAUGCACAGGUUGUGAACUCGAAGAGUAGGGCGGGACACGUGGUAUCCUGUCUGAAUAUGGGGGGACCAUCCUCCAAGGCUAAAUACUCCUGACUGACCGAUAGUGAACCAGUACCGUGAGGGAAAGGCGAAAAGAACCCCGGCGAGGGGAGUGAAAAAGAACCUGAAACCGUGUACGUACAAGCAGUGGGAGCCUCUUUAUGGGGUGACUGCGUACCUUUUGUAUAAUGGGUCAGCGACUUAUAUUCUGUAGCAAGGUUAACCGUAUAGGGGAGCCGAAGGGAAACCGAGUCUUAACUGGGCGUUAAGUUGCAGGGUAUAGACCCGAAACCCGGUGAUCUAGCCAUGGGCAGGUUGAAGGUUGGGUAACACUAACUGGAGGACCGAACCGACUAAUGUUGAAAAAUUAGCGGAUGACCUGUGGCUGGGGGUGAAAGGCCAAUCAAACCGGGAGAUAGCUGGUUCUCCCCGAAAGCUAUUUAGGUAGCGCCUCGUGAACUCAUCUUCGGGGGUAGAGCACUGUUUCGGCUAGGGGGCCAUCCCGGCUUACCAACCCGAUGCAAACUACGAAUACCGAAGAAUGUUAUCACGGGAGACACACGGCGGGUGCUAACGUCCGUCGUGAAGAGGGAAACAACCCAGACCGCCAGCUAAGGUCCCAAAGUCAUGGUUAAGUGGGAAACGAUGUGGGAAGGCACAGACAGCCAGGAUGUUGGCUUAGAAGCAGCCAUCAUUUAAAGAAAGCGUAAUAGCUCACUGGUCGAGUCGGCCUGCGCGGAAGAUGUAACGGGGCUAAACCAUGCACCGAAGCUGCGGCAGCGACACUAUGUGUUGUUGGGUAGGGGAGCGUUCUGUAAGCCGUUGAAGGUGUGCUGUGAGGCAUGCUGGAGGUAUCAGAAGUGCGAAUGCUGACAUAAGUAACGAUAAAGCGGGUGAAAAGCCCGCUCGCCGGAAGACCAAGGGUUCCUGUCCAACGUUAAUCGGGGCAGGGUGAGUCGACCCCUAAGGCGAGGCCGAAAGGCGUAGUCGAUGGGAAACAGGUUAAUAUUCCUGUACUUGGUGUUACUGCGAAGGGGGGACGGAGAAGGCUAUGUCAGCCGGGCGACGGUUGUCCCGGUUUAAGCAUGUAGGCGGAGGUUCCAGGUAAAUCCGGUACCUUAUUAACGCUGAGGUGUGAUGACGAGGCACUACGGUGCUGAAGUGAUAAAUGCCCUGCUUCCAGGAAAAGCCUCUAAGCAUCAGGUAACACGAAAUCGUACCCCAAACCGACACAGGUGGUCAGGUAGAGAAUACCAAGGCGCUUGAGAGAACUCGGGUGAAGGAACUAGGCAAAAUGGUGCCGUAACUUCGGGAGAAGGCACGCUGAUGUGUAGGUGAAGCCCCUGCGGGUGGAGCUGAAAUCAGUCGAAGAUACCAGCUGGCUGCAACUGUUUAUUAAAAACACAGCACUGUGCAAACACGAAAGUGGACGUAUACGGUGUGACGCCUGCCCGGUGCCGGAAGGUUAAUUGAUGGGGUUAGCGGCAACGCGAAGCUCUUGAUCGAAGCCCCGGUAAACGGCGGCCGUAACUAUAACGGUCCUAAGGUAGCGAAAUUCCUUGUCGGGUAAGUUCCGACCUGCACGAAUGGCGUAAUGAUGGCCAGGCUGUCUCCACCCGAGACUCAGUGAAAUUGAACUCGCUGUGAAGAUGCAGUGUACCCGCGGCAAGACGGAAAGACCCCGUGAACCUUUACUAUAGCUUGACACUGAACACUGGUCCUUGAUGUGUAGGAUAGGUGGGAGGCUUUGAAGCGUGGACGCCAGUCUGCGUGGAGCCAACCUUGAAAUACCACCCUUUAAUGGCUGGUGUUCUAACGUAGACCCGUAAUCCGGGUUGCGGACAGUGUCUGGUGGGUAGUUUGACUGGGGCGGUCUCCUCCCAAAGAGUAACGGAGGAGCACGAAGGUUGGCUAAUCCUGGUCGGACAUCAGGAGGUUAGUGCAAUGGCAUAAGCCAGCUUGACUGCGAGCGUGACGGCGCGAGCAGGUGCGAAAGCAGGUCAUAGUGAUCCGGUGGUUCUGAAUGGAAGGGCCAUCGCUCAACGGAUAAAAGGUACUCCGGGGAUAACAGGCUGAUACCGCCCAAGAGUUCAUAUCGACGGCGGUGUUUGGCACCUCGAUGUCGGCUCAUCACAUCCUGGGGCUGAAGUAGGUCCCAAGGGUAUGGCUGUUCGCCAUUUAAAGUGGUACGCGAGCUGGGUUUAGAACGUCGUGAGACAGUUCGGUCCCUAUCUGCCGUGGGCGCUGGAGAAUUGAGGGGGGCUGCUCCUAGUACGAGAGGACCGGAGUGGACGCAUCACUGGUGUUCGGGUUGUCAUGCCAAUGGCACUGCCCGGUAGCUAAAUGCGGAAGAGAUAAGUGCUGAAAGCAUCUAAGCACGAAACUUGCCCCGAGAUGAGUUCUCCCUGAGACUUUAAGUCUCCUGAAGGAACGUUGAAGACGACGACGUUGAUAGGUCGGGUGUGUAAGCGCAGCGAUGCGUUGAGCUAACCGAUACUAAUGAACCGUGAGGCUUAACCUU
rnacentral:rRNA from 1 species